rnacentral:rRNA from 1 species
GAUGAACGCUGGCGGCGUGCUUAACACAUGCAAGUCGAACGAAGCACUUUAUUUGAUUUCCUUCGGGACUGAUUAUUUUGUGACUGAGUGGCGGACGGGUGAGUAACGCGUGGGUAACCUGCCUUGUACAGGGGGAUAACAGUUGGAAACGGCUGCUAAUACCGCAUAAGCGCACGGCAUCGCAUGAUGCAGUGUGAAAAACUCUGGUGGUAUAAGAUGGACCCGCGUUGGAUUAGCUAGUUGGUGAGGUAACGGCCCACCAAGGCGACGAUCCAUAGCCGACCUGAGAGGGUGACCGGCCACAUUGGGACUGAGACACGGCCCAAACUCCUACGGGAGGCAGCAGUGGGGAAUAUUGCACAAUGGGCGAAAGCCUGAUGCAGCGACGCCGCGUGAGCGAAGAAGUAUUUCGGUAUGUAAAGCUCUAUCAGCAGGGAAGAUAAUGACGGUACCUGACGAAGAAGCACCGGCUAAAUACGUG